rnacentral:misc_RNA from 1 species
UAGACCAGCCUCGGCCUCAGG